GGGUUGUGAGGUUAAGCGACUAAGCGUACACGGUGGAUGCCCUGGCAGUCAGAGGCGAUGAAGGACGUGCUAAUCUGCGAUAAGCGUCGGUAAGGUGAUAUGAACCGUUAUAACCGGCGAUUUCCGAAUGGGGAAACCCAGUGUGAUUCGUCACACUAUCAUUAACUGAAUCCAUAGGUUAAUGAGGCGAACCGGGGGAACUGAAACAUCUAAGUACCCCGAGGAAAAGAAAUCAACCGAGAUUCCCCCAGUAGCGGCGAGCGAACGGGGAGCAGCCCAGAGCCUGAAUCAGUGUGUGUGUUAGUGGAAGCGUCUGGAAAGGCGCGCGAUACAGGGUGACAGCCCCGUACACAAAAAUGCACAUGCUGUGAGCUCGAUGAGUAGGGCGGGACACGUGGUAUCCUGUCUGAAUAUGGGGGGACCAUCCUCCAAGGCUAAAUACUCCUGACUGACCGAUAGUGAACCAGUACCGUGAGGGAAAGGCGAAAAGAACCCCGGCGAGGGGAGUGAAAAAGAACCUGAAACCGUGUACGUACAAGCAGUGGGAGCACAGAGCAAUCUGUGUGACUGCGUACCUUUUGUAUAAUGGGUCAGCGACUUAUAUUCUGUAGCAAGGUUAACCGAAUAGGGGAGCCGAAGGGAAACCGAGUCUUAACUGGGCGUUAAGUUGCAGGGUAUAGACCCGAAACCCGGUGAUCUAGCCAUGGGCAGGUUGAAGGUUGGGUAACACUAACUGGAGGACCGAACCGACUAAUGUUGAAAAAUUAGCGGAUGACUUGUGGCUGGGGGUGAAAGGCCAAUCAAACCGGGAGAUAGCUGGUUCUCCCCGAAAGCUAUUUAGGUAGCGCCUCGUGAAUUCAUCUCCGGGGGUAGAGCACUGUUUCGGCAAGGGGGUCAUCCCGACUUACCAACCCGAUGCAAACUGCGAAUACCGGAGAAUGUUAUCACGGGAGACACACGGCGGGUGCUAACGUCCGUCGUGAAGAGGGAAACAACCCAGACCGCCAGCUAAGGUCCCAAAGUCAUGGUUAAGUGGGAAACGAUGUGGGAAGGCCCAGACAGCCAGGAUGUUGGCUUAGAAGCAGCCAUCAUUUAAAGAAAGCGUAAUAGCUCACUGGUCGAGUCGGCCUGCGCGGAAGAUGUAACGGGGCUAAACCAUGCACCGAAGCUGCGGCAGCGACGCUUAUGCGUUGUUGGGUAGGGGAGCGUUCUGUAAGCCUGCGAAGGUGUGCUGUGAGGCAUGCUGGAGGUAUCAGAAGUGCGAAUGCUGACAUAAGUAACGAUAAAGCGGGUGAAAAGCCCGCUCGCCGGAAGACCAAGGGUUCCUGUCCAACGUUAAUCGGGGCAGGGUGAGUCGACCCCUAAGGCGAGGCCGAAAGGCGUAGUCGAUGGGAAACAGGUUAAUAUUCCUGUACUUGGUGUUACUGCGAAGGGGGGACGGAGAAGGCUAUGUUGGCCGGGCGACGGUUGUCCCGGUUUAAGCGUGUAGGCUGGUUUUCCAGGCAAAUCCGGAAAAUCAAGGCUGAGGCGUGAUGACGAGGCACUACGGUGCUGAAGCAACAAAUGCCCUGCUUCCAGGAAAAGCCUCUAAGCAUCAGGUAACAUCAAAUCGUACCCCAAACCGACACAGGUGGUCAGGUAGAGAAUACCAAGGCGCUUGAGAGAACUCGGGUGAAGGAACUAGGCAAAAUGGUGCCGUAACUUCGGGAGAAGGCACGCUGAUAUGUAGGUGAAGUCCCUCGCGGAUGGAGCUGAAAUCAGUCGAAGAUACCAGCUGGCUGCAACUGUUUAUUAAAAACACAGCACUGUGCAAACACGAAAGUGGACGUAUACGGUGUGACGCCUGCCCGGUGCCGGAAGGUUAAUUGAUGGGGUUAGCGCAAGCGAAGCUCUUGAUCGAAGCCCCGGUAAACGGCGGCCGUAACUAUAACGGUCCUAAGGUAGCGAAAUUCCUUGUCGGGUAAGUUCCGACCUGCACGAAUGGCGUAAUGAUGGCCAGGCUGUCUCCACCCGAGACUCAGUGAAAUUGAACUCGCUGUGAAGAUGCAGUGUACCCGCGGCAAGACGGAAAGACCCCGUGAACCUUUACUAUAGCUUGACACUGAACAUUGAGCCUUGAUGUGUAGGAUAGGUGGGAGGCUUUGAAGUGUGGACGCCAGUCUGCAUGGAGCCGACCUUGAAAUACCACCCUUUAAUGUUUGAUGUUCUAACGUUGACCCGUAAUCCGGGUUGCGGACAGUGUCUGGUGGGUAGUUUGACUGGGGCGGUCUCCUCCUAAAGAGUAACGGAGGAGCACGAAGGUUGGCUAAUCCUGGUCGGACAUCAGGAGGUUAGUGCAAUGGCAUAAGCCAGCUUGACUGCGAGCGUGACGGCGCGAGCAGGUGCGAAAGCAGGUCAUAGUGAUCCGGUGGUUCUGAAUGGAAGGGCCAUCGCUCAACGGAUAAAAGGUACUCCGGGGAUAACAGGCUGAUACCGCCCAAGAGUUCAUAUCGACGGCGGUGUUUGGCACCUCGAUGUCGGCUCAUCACAUCCUGGGGCUGAAGUAGGUCCCAAGGGUAUGGCUGUUCGCCAUUUAAAGUGGUACGCGAGCUGGGUUUAGAACGUCGUGAGACAGUUCGGUCCCUAUCUGCCGUGGGCGCUGGAGAACUGAGGGGGGCUGCUCCUAGUACGAGAGGACCGGAGUGGACGCAUCACUGGUGUUCGGGUUGUCAUGCCAAUGGCACUGCCCGGUAGCUAAAUGCGGAAGAGAUAAGUGCUGAAAGCAUCUAAGCACGAAACUUGCCCCGAGAUGAGUUCUCCCUGACUCCUUGAGAGUCCUGAAGGAACGUUGAAGACGACGACGUUGAUAGGCCGGGUGUGUAAGCGCAGCGAUGCGUUGAGCUAACCGGUACUAAUGAACCGUGAGGCUUAACCUUACAACGCCGAAGCUGUU
rnacentral:rRNA from 1 species